rnacentral:rRNA from 1 species
UACGUAGGGUACAAGCGUUGUCCGGAAUUAUUGGGCGUAAAGAGCUCGUAGGUGGUUGGUCACGUCUGCUGUGGAAACGCAACGCUUAACGUUGCGCGUGCAGUGGGUACGGGCUGACUAGAGUGCAGUAGGGGAGUCUGGAAUUCCUGGUGUAGCGGUGAAAUGCGCAGAUAUCAGGAGGAACACCGGUGGCGAAGGCGGGACUCUGGGCUGUAACUGACACUGAGGAGCGAAAGCAUGGGGAGCGAACAGG